rnacentral:rRNA from 1 species
CCUACGGGAGUGCAGCAGUGGGGAAUAUUGCGCAAUGGGCGAAAGCCUGACGCAGCGACGCAGCGUGAGGGAUGAAGGCCUUCGGGUUGUAAACCUCUUUCAGCGGGGACGAAGCGAAAGUGACGGUACCCGCAGAAGAAGCACCGGCUAACUACGUGCCAGCAGCCGCGGUAAUACGUAGGGUGCAAGCAUUGUCCGGAUUUAUUGGGCGUAAAGAGCUCGUAGGCGGCUUGUCACGUCGGGUGUGAAAACUUGGGGCUCAACCCCAAGCCUGCACUCGAUACGGGCUAGCUAGAGUGUUGCAGGGGAGACUGGAAUUCCUGGUGUAGCGGUGAAAUGCGCAGAUAUCAGGAGGAACACCGGUGGCGAAGGCGGGUCUCUGGGCAACUACUGACGCUGAGGAGCGAAAGCGUGGGGAGCGAACAGGAUUAGAUACCCUGGUAGUCCACGCCGUAAACGGUGGGCGCUAGGUGUGGGGAACCUUCCACGUUCUCUGUGCCGCAGCUAACGCAUUAAGCGCCCCGCCUGGGGAGUACGGCCGCAAGGCUAAAACUUAAGGAAAUUGACGG